CCUCUGAGGUGCUCGUCCUUGUCUCCGCCAUAGCCCGCCGCCGUAGCUUACUUAUGCCAGUGCGAGCCACAGCAGCUCACCGCCCUGGCUCCCCCACGCCUGCGCCAACAACCGCAGCUCGCCGCAGCCGGCCGUUGGUAGCCCAAGCCUGCGCGCGCCGGCGGAGCUCGCCGUCGCCUCGCUUAUGCCUGCUCGAGCUCUCGUAGCUCGUCGACGGUGCUCGUCCAAGUCUGCACGAGCGGGCAUAGCUCAUCCUCGCCUCUCUGAUGCCUGCGCGAGCCGCCGUAGCUCGCCGCCCAGGCCCUGCGCGAGCAACCGUAGCUCGCCCUCGCCUGCGUGCUGGCGGAGCUCGCCGCACGGCAUGCUAGAGAGGUGCGCCAGCGACUUCGUGUCCCUGAACACCAGCACCAUGGCAACAUCAACUGGAGGCCCUUUUGAUGGUCCGUGAGGAGGAGACGAACGCGUGUGCAGGUGCUGAAAAUGUAGAAUGCAAGCAACCUGGAGUAGAUCAGGGAUGAUGAAUGUGCUUCCCACAGAUUCCAUACGUCACAUGAGGAGCUUUGUUGAACUGGAGUCAAACGAACAAACCAAGGGAAAGGUAAAACGUAAUACCGUCCAGAAAGAUUGGGUUCCAUGUCGCCACUGCGGUACUGGGUGAUGGGCAGCACACGAAGCCGAGGAGAUCGACGGCGCACGACGCCGAGGAGAUUGGCGGCACGCGGUGUUGAGGCAAUCAGCGGCGUCGCGACCCAGGAGAUGGGGGCAGCGUCCAGCGAUUGACCCAAGAAGUCCUGGCGACCAGGGAUGCGGCAAGCACGGUAUUCACGGCGGGCAGCACGCACUCGUCCGCUUCAAGUGCUGAUCUGAUGCCAAAGUACGUGAAGAUAGCUACAGGGGUACUUCGGUCCUUUCAGGUGCCAGAAAAUAGAAAAUAAAAAUAAAAGCAAUGAAAAAAGAAAAAAUGGCAUGGUAAUCAAAGUGCAUACGAACUGGGUGGCAUUUUUGCGAAGCCAAUGUUGAGAGUGGCAGUUUUGCGAAGCCCGAUAUUGAAAGUGGCAAAUAGCCGAUUUUCUCGCCAACACCAGUGCUUGAGCACCUAGGUCCGGGCUUCAGGGCUUCGGUCCGUUGUCCCCGGCGCCGCCGUGAGCGAGAGCCAAGACGCACCAUUGUGUGUUACCAUAGAUGUCGGAUCUGAACGGAAGCGGGGCCAGAUAGCAUUGGCGAAGAGGAGAAAGGUAGCCGCUUGGAUAUUCUGAUCCAUUUAGUAAACAAUUUGGCUGGUUUUGAUAAAAGAAACAGUCAGAUCUAGAUGCAUCUUCCCUAUUUUCCCCUCUUGCCACCAGAUCCGCCGAUCUCUCUCUUUCCAUGAGUUCCACUCCUCUUUAAUUUUGUGAGUGUGGAUCUCUGGUUUAGUGUGGUAAUUUUGGUCCAAGACGCAUCUUCUAAAGCGAAGUAAUCACAGAGGUUAUUUGCUGCUGCUGAAAAUAUUGCAUGCCAUCUGCUGACAUCUAACAAGGUCGAUCUGCAUCCUGAAUAACCUAGCAACAAAUGACUGUCUGUCAAACAUCAAGAUUCAAAUGUAUAGACAUGGAUAAGAUGGCCAGUUCCAUGAUGAGGGAAAUAGAAUCUUUCUGGUCACAAUGUGAUGCGGGUGGUUAUGGCACCAACAUGUGCCCAAUCCAAAGAGUCCCAGAACACAUUCGAGAGGUUGACUGUGUGUCCUACGAACCCAUUGUUAUAUCAUUUGGCCCGUAUCACCAUGGAGGCCAUCACUUUCAAUAUAUGGAGAAGAAAAUAUGGGAACAUUUAGACAGGGUACUAAAACUGAACCGUAAUAAAGCUCUGAAUGAUUACAUUAAAGCAAUAGCCAAACUAGAGAAGCAAGCAAGGAAAUGCUAGUCGGAGCUGAUAAUAAUGGAAAGGAAAAGGUUUGUGCAGAUGCUUUUGCUGGAUGGGUGCUUCAUACUUGUGAGUAUUGAUGAAAAUGUUGGCACCGGGGUAUCACAUUCCAGAAUUUUGAACCAGGGACCUAACCAAACAGAAGUCAAUGGAAACGUGACGGUAGAAGAGCUGGAACAGAUUAAUGUGGAAAUUAUUCAGGAAACAGGAAGAAAUACCAGAGAGGAGGAUGCAAACCAGCGGACAAGCAUUGGGAACAGUUACGGUGCUGGGGAUUGGUUGAGUGGUCCUGCAUGGCACGACAUGCUCUGUUUGCUGGAGAACCAGAUACCCUUUUUCGUUAUGGAGAGUAUUUACGAAUUAGUAUCAGGUGAAAGUACAGGAGUUGGAUCGCUUUGAAGAAAAGCUGCUGAAUUUGUAAAGGUCCUCUUGUGUCAUUAUCCAAUAGCUAUACAAGAGAAUGAUAGAUCCAAACAUUUCCAUCAUCUGCUCCACCUAUGUCACACGUACUUGAGACCUAGUCAGAAAUUCGAUGAGGAGCUUCAGUAUCAGCAGAAGAGAAGUUAUUUUCACGGUCUUCUACGUCGAUGGAAUAUGUCAGGUAAAUCAGUUGACCCUGACAAAAACCUAGAGCUGAUGGAGUGCUUGGAAUCAGGUAAGCUUUGGAAGCGUUGGCGUCGAGCAGAAGAGUACCAUGAAGUGGGGGUUCAGUUCAUACGUAGGGAGUAUGACGGACAAAGUAGGCAUUCUCUGUUGGACAUAAGGUUCAUCAACGGAGUUAUGGAGAUUCCUUGUUUGCCAGUUGGUGAGUCCAGUGAGUCUCUUUUCAAGAACCUUUUAGCACUAGAGCAAACAGACCCCAGGUAUGGCAAUGACAUCAGUGCUUAUGUCACUUUCAUGUCUCAGGUCGUCGCUACGCCUACUGAUGCCACACUAUUUGUUCAGAGAGGCAUCAUCGUGCAUAUGAUGGAUAGCGAUGAAGAGGUGUCAACUCUAUUCAGUAGACUCACCAAACAAGCGACAUUCGGGUUUGAUUUGAAAUACUACUUAAAAUAUAUAUGUUGGGCGUUGGAGGCCCACUACCAGAGUCGCCUGAAUAGAUGGAUAGCAUGGCUGUGGUUAAAUCACUUCCGAAACCCGUGGUUAGCUUUGGGUGCAUUAGCUGCUGCAGUAGUGCUUGCCUGCAUCAUAAUCCAGACUAUAUAUACAGUUUUGCCCUAUGUCAAGCCUCCGUCAGAUAACUGAGGAUUUUUCAUCCUUCAUGGACUCUUUGACAUAAUGCACCAGACAUCUUACAAAUUGCUGAGUAAAUUGGCGACACAUGUCUAACAGGUCCAGAACAUUUCGUCAUUUAGAGAUGAGAUUUGACAUGAGUAUAUAUGGCGACACAUCUAACAGGUCCAGAAGAUACUGUCAUUUGGAGAUGAGAUUUGACAUGAGUAUAUAUGGCGACACAUCUAACAGGUCCAGAAGAUACUGUCAUUUGGAGAUGAGAUUUGACAUGAUGGGUAUAUACUGUAAGAUUUUUUACGUAAGGUUUUGCAGAAUGACAGGAAGAUUAAGGGCAUCAAAGGUGUGAAGGGAUGAAAUACCCAUGAUAAUAAGCUUAUUAACCCAGCAAAGGCAUAGUCUGGACAAAGAAACAAUUUCUUCAGGAGAGGUUAGCAAGGAGCCAAGGACAGUGAUACCAAUGAAACUGCAAGCCAGCUCUUGUUUCAAUUCCCAGUAGCAUGCUAUGUGAUUGGACUUUGGAGCAAUUAUUACUGAAAAUGCUAUUUGGGACAUGGGUACAUAUGAAGUUAUGAACCCGUUUUUUUAACUUAAUCAGAUUCAUAUUUUCUGAUGUGUCCAAAUAUGACGGAAAUAUUAUGCAAAAGAUGUAAAUAUCUACAAAAAAGGAUAACAAGGGUAACAUCCUACCAUUCUCUACGGUCAAACACUUUAUUUUAUUUUUGCAAUUUUUAGAACUUAGGGGUAUGAUUUUUGCCAAGUUCGGAAAAGGGUUCAUAUGUACCCAACUUUCUGAUCCAGCUAGCAGCGAUUUAACUGCAGUUAUCAAUGCUCAACACAUAGUUUUUCAUGGAGCUCAGUUGAGUUGAAAGCUUGGGCCUCAUCGCUAGUCUGUAACCAUACAAAUACAAUUCCUCCAAUUGUUAGCUUCAAAACUGAAAUGCACAAUAUAAGGAGCAUGAAGGGUUUCU